UACGGGGGGGGGCAAGCGUUGUUCGGAAUUACUGGGCGUAAAGGGCUCGUAGGCGGCCAACUAAGUCAGACGUGAAAUCCCUCGGCUUAACCGGGGAACUGCGUCUGAUACUGGAUGGCUUGAGUUUGGGAGAGGGAUGCGGAAUUCCAGGUGUAGCGGUGAAAUGCGUAGAUAUCGAGAGGAACACCUGCGGCGAAGGCGGGUUGCUGGGCUGACACUGACGCUGAUGCGCGAAAGCCAGGGGAGCGAACGGG
rnacentral:rRNA from 1 species